rnacentral:misc_RNA from 1 species
GAUGAAGAACGUAGCGAAAUGCGAUAAGUAAUGUGAAUUGCAGAAUUCAGUGAAUCAUCGAAUCUUUGAACGCACAUUGCGCCCGCCAGUAUUCUGGCGGGCAUGCCUGUUCGAGCGUCAUUUCAACCCUCAGGCCCCCAGUGCCUGGUGUUGGGGAUCGGCAGCAGGGCGUCAAGCCCGCCGGCCCCGAAAUCUAGUGGCGGUCUCGCUGUAGUCCUCCUCUGCGUAGUAGCACAACCUCGCAGUUGGAACGCGGCGGUGGCCAUGCCGUUAAACACACCACUUCUGAAAGUUGACCUCGGAUCAGGUAGGAAUACCCGCUGAACUUAAGCAUAUCAAUAAGCGGAGGA